CAUAAAUAAAGUUUUAUUGGAACACAGCCACACCUGGCCACUUAGGUACUGUCUCGCUGAACCCGCCCUGCAGUGGCAGGUGAACAGCCACAGCAGUGACUGAAAGGCCUGAAGUAUUUACCAUGUGACCUUUAUGGAAAAGGCUCCCUGCUCACUGCCUGGACUCUCACCCACCAUCCAACUGGCUGAGGGCAAAGUCGUCUCUGCUCCCAACGCUCUGUUUCCCACUUUGUGAAGUGGGGUGAACAGCGCUGCCCUCAGAGGAUUCCAAGGGUGACGGUCCAUCACUGGGUGAGGUGGCUGUCCCUUCUCGCCCGUCCUUCCUUUGCUCCAAUGCUCCGGGAUGUUUCCCCUUUGGAGGCGCUCGAGAUACCUGGCUGAUAAAGGGCAGAUUCGUGGAGACUUAAUUAUGGCCCCAAGCCCUCCGUGUAAACAGUCGGGCCUGGUGACAACAGAAAUGCAAGCUCUCGUCAAGCGAGGACUGAUAAGGGGACCCUCAGAGAUGAGCAGAACCCGGAGGAGGGACUCACCACUUUUCUCAGCUGGGUGGUGAUGAUGGCCAAAGCCAUCUUUGAACAAGAGAAGCUGCUCGUAGGUGCUUUGGAUGACAAGCUGCCUCGGAGCUUCAAAGCCCCGUUCCUGCUGUAGGAACUGCAGACCCCUUGGUCUGGCUUCUCCCGGCCAGAAGCCCAUCCACCUCCGCCCCCAGCUGGAGACAGGUGAGGUCCCUGGGUGCGCCGCCUCUGGGCCGGGCUGCCUUCUGUCCUCACCAGCCACUCUGUCUGCGGGCCUGCCCCCUCCAUAGCCCGCUGUCCCUCUCCCAGGCCCGGUUCCUCACCCUCACCUGCCACCGUAGCUGCCUGUUUCCAGCUGGAACCUCCCUGAGGCUGGGAGAGACACCCUGACUCACACUAACUUCAGCACUGAAUCCAAAAGCAAAGCGUUGUGGGAAGAACACCGAGCUUCAACUUCGUGUGCGCUCAUCCAAUCCUUUCCCUGCGCUGUAACUUUUCUUUAAAAUGCCAUCCAAGAGGUGCUUAAUGCUGUGCCGCUGCGUUAACCACAGUGCUAGCUAAUGCUGGCCGGGACACCUGAAAGCCACUUGUCAUGAGUAGUUACACUGCUAGACUUCUGCCAAGGCCCAGAGAAUCCUGCCCCCAGGGAGCCUGGGACCCCGGGAAGAGUUCCCUGAAGCCAAGGCCAGGGGCAACAGAGUCCAGGAGGUCUGCACUGACAGGGGGUCCUACCCGAGGGGCAGGGGCAGGGGCACACAGGAGCCGUGUCACAGGGAUGCCCACCAGCUGGUGAGAUGCACUGAGCCCCUGGAGGAGAGCAGGCAUGUGUGUGUGCAUCUUUCCGCCUGUGAGUCUGCCCGAGUAUCUGUGUGGGAGUCUCUGUGCAUCGUGUGUGGACGGGCUUGUGUGUUUCUGUGUGUAGGCCUGGGCGUCCGUGUCUCUGGGUGGGUGUGUUUACACAUCCGUCCACACUACCGCCUAGUGGGGCCAGGUCCAAGCCAGAUACUGGACAGGUGACAGAGGACUUGGUCUCUGCCU
ensembl:lncRNA